ACAGAGGUGGCGAGCGUUGUUCGGAUUUACUGGGCGUAAAGGGCGCGUAGGCCGCGCUGCGUGUCGGGCGUGAAAUCCCAGGGCCCAACCCUGGAAGUGCGCCCGAAACUGCAGCGCUCGAGUGCGGGAGGGGAGAUCGGAAUGCAGGGUGUAGCGGUGAAAUGCGUUGAUAUCCGGCAGAACACCGGUGGCGAAGGCGGAUCUCUGGAACGCAACUGACGCUGAGGCGCGAAAGUCGGGGGAGCAAACAG
rnacentral:rRNA from 1 species